UUGGCGACGUUACUCGGUUUGACUGGGUGUAAAGGGUUCGCAGGCGGUCUUACAAGUGUAAGGUGAAAUCCUUCGGCUCAACCGGAGAAUUGCCUUACAAACUGUUUGACUAGAGGCUAGGAGAGGAGAACGGAACUGCCGGUGUAAGGGUGAAAUCUGUGGAUAUCGGCAGGAACGCCCGUGGAAUAAUCGGUUCUCUGGUCCAGUCCUGACGCUCAGGAACGAAAGCUAGGGGAGCAAACAGAAUUAGAUACUCUGGUAGUCCUAGCCGUAAACGAUGGGCACUAGGUGUUUGUCCGUAAGGAUGGGUGCCGAAGCUAACGCGUUAAGUGCCCCACCUGGGGACUACGGCCGCAAGGCUAAAACUCAAAGGAAUUGGCGGGGGCCCGCACAAGCGGUGGAACACGUGGUUUAAUUCGAUGCUACGCGAGGAACCUUACCAGGUUUGACAUGCUGGUAGUAAUCGCCUGAAAGGUGGGUGAACUGUAUCCAAUCAGUUGCCAGCACAGUGCUGCAUGCUGUCGUCACUC
rnacentral:rRNA from 1 species